ACGAACGCUGGCGGCAUGCCUAACACCUGCACGUCGAACGAGACCUUCGGGUCUAGUGGCGCACGGGUGCGUAACGCGUGGGAACCUGCCCUUAGGUUCGGAAUAACUCCCCGAAAGGGGUGCUAAUACCGGAUAAUGUCUUCGGACCAAAGAUUUAUCGCCUUUGGAUGGGCCCGCGUUGGAUUAGCUAGUUGGUAGGGUAAAAGCCUACCAAGGCGACGAUCCAUAGCUGGUCUGAGAGGAUGAUCAGCCACACUGGGACUGAGACACGGCCCAGACUCCUACGGGAGGCAGCAGUGGGGAAUAUUGGACAAUGGGCGAAAGCCUGAUCCAGCAAUGCCGCGUGAGUGAUGAAGGCCUUAGGGUUGUAAAGCUCUUUUACCCGGGAUGAUAAUGACAGUACCGGGAGAAUAAGCGCCGGCUAACUCCGUG
rnacentral:rRNA from 1 species